rnacentral:rRNA from 1 species
GAUGAACGCUGGCGGCGUGCCUAAUACAUGCAAGUCGAGCGAACAGAUAAGGAGCUUGCUCCUUUGACGUUAGCGGCGGACGGGUGAGUAACACGUGGGUAACCUACCUAUAAGACUGGAAUAACUCCGGGAAACCGGGGCUAAUGCCGGAUAACAUGUUGAACCGCAUGGUUCUACAGCGAAAGGCGGCUUUGCUGUCACUUAUAGAUGGACCCGCGCCGUAUUAGCUAGUUGGUGAGGUAACGGCUCACCAAGGCAACGAUACGUAGCCGACCUGAGAGGGUGAUCGGCCACACUGGAACUGAGACACGGUCCAGACUCCUACGGGAGGCAGCAGUAGGGAAUCUUCCGCAAUGGGCGAAAGCCUGACGGAGCAACGCCGCGUGAGUGAUGAAGGUCUUCGGAUCGUAAAACUCUGUUAUUAGGGAAGAACAAAUGCGUAAGUAACUGUGCGCGUCUUGACGGUACCUAAUCAGAAAGCCACGGCUAACUACGUG